CCGGUUUGACUGAAGUUACCCUCUGAAUUUAAGCAUAUAAGUAAGUGGUGGAAAAGAAACGUCAAAGGAUUCUUCAAGUAAUGGCGAAUGAAGAAGGAAGAGCUCAUACCUAGAAGCGGAGCUUAGUGCUUCGCGUUGUAGUAUCUUGAUCCGUGACCAGUGACGCGGCGGGYGUAUGUCCUCUGGAAAGAGGUGCAGCGAAUGGUGACAGCCCAGUUCAACGCCCGCGCAGUGUUGCGUAACGUCCGGAAUCUCAGAGUCGCGUUCCCUGGGAUGGGAGCGUAAAUCAGACGGUAUAUUUCGUCUAAAGCUAAAUAUCUUCUCGAGUCCGAUAGCGAACAAGUACCGUGAGGGAAAGAUGCAAAGUACUUUGAAAAGAGGGUUAUAUGCGCCUGCAACCACUGUAUUACAAGCACUUGGAUCCUUCUUUUUCGCUGGAUUAGUGCGCCGACCGGUUACGGCGUGUCGUUGGGGAAUCCCGCGGYGCGUCACAGUUCUGGACAGGCGCGCGGAAUCCGGCGUUUAUUGCCGGCGCAACUAAAGGGACUGCCAACCACCCUCGUUGGGCCGCUCUUUGAGCAUCUCGCGAGGCGUAUGUCCGUUCCGAAUUUUGUUUUCUGGGGAGCUGCAUUUUCUUGCAUAGUGCCUCGUCGAUCCUUCCAUUCGCGCAUGCGCGGAGGUCGGGCAGGCGUUGCGCUGUAAGGUACAGCCUUCCCGCGGCGCCGGUAUAUCAAGGUUUCAAAUGACCCGUCUUGAAACACGGACCAAGGAGUCCACACACGUGUGCGAGUACGUGUCGUGAAACGACAUGUGCGGAAUGAAAGUGACAGUUUUAAUUUACGUUUGUAGAAACAACCGACUUCGCUCCACGGAAAGAGGUUUGAGUGUAAGCACACCUGUUGGGACCCGAAAGAUGGUGAACUAUAUCUGAGGAGGGUGAAGCCAGGGGAAACCCUGGUGGAGGCUCGUAGCGAUACUGACGUGCAAAUCGUUCGUCACACUUGGACAUAGGGGCGAAAGACUAAUCGAACUAUCUAGUAGCUGGUUCCCUUCGAAGUUUCCCUCAGGAUAGCUGGUGUCAAGCAGUUGUAUCAGGUAAAGCGAAUGAUUAGAGGAUUCGGGGACGCGUUGUUCUCGACCUAUUCUCAAACUUUAAAUGGGUACGUAGUGGGGAUUACUUCAGUGAAUCUCCACCUUCAAUGUAUACACUUAGUGGGCCUUUUUUGGUAAGCAGAACUGGCGAUGAGGGAUGAACCUAACGGCGGUGUAAGGUGCUAAAUUGUUCGCUCAUCUGACACCAAAAAGGGUGUUGGUUCAUUUUGACAGCAGGACGGUGGUCAUGGAAGUUGAAACCCGCUAAGGAAUGUGUAACAACUCACCUGCCG
rnacentral:rRNA from 1 species